AAUUUCAACUCUCUCCGAGUUUGCCUACCUAAAGGUUUUGCCUAGGGUAGCCAAACCGCCCUACUUUUGUAGUUGCCCGGGUAAAGAUGGAAACAUUUUGCCCCCCCGUAUUUGGAAAGGAGACCCCAGCAUUGCUCU
rnacentral:ncRNA from 2 species